rnacentral:rRNA from 1 species
UAGGGAAUCUUCGGCAAUGGACGAAAGUCUGACCGAGCAACGCCGCGUGAGUGAAGAAGGUUUUCGGAUCGUAAAACUCUGUUGUUAGAGAAGAACAAGGACGUUAGUAACUGAACGUCCCCUGACGGUAUCUAACCAGAAAGCCACGGCUAACUACGUGCCAGCAGCCGCGGUAAUACGUAGGUGGCAAGCGUUGUCCGGAUUUAUUGGGCGUAAAGCGAGCGCAGGCGGUUUCUUAAGUCUGAUGUGAAAGCCCCCGGCUCAACCGGGGAGGGUCAUUGGAAACUGGGAGACUUGAGUGCAGAAGAGGAGAGUGGAUUUCCGUGUGUAGGGGUGAAAUGCGUAGAUAUAUGGAGGAACACCAGUGGCGAAGGCGGCUCUCUGGUCUGUAACUGACGCUGAGGCUCGAAAGCGUGGGGAGCAAACAGG